CUCAAAGAUUAAGCCAUGCAAUUGCAAGUAUGAACAACUCGUAUUUGUUAAACUGAGGACAGCUUAUUAAAAAAGUUAUAAUUUAUUUGAACGUGGAACCUUAAAACAGGUUCAUUUUAUCUAUUUAAGUGGAAUAAUUGUGGGAAAGCUAGAAAUAAUACAUGCAAAAAGGGGAAACUAUUUUAAUUUAUUUAAAAUAGAAUCCUUGCAUUAACUGGUAAAUCAAAAGAAUACAAAAAAUAAAAAUCUUUAAUUGAUGAAACACAGUUCACUAAAUAGCAAAGUGUUUAUAAUAAAACACUGCUUCAUUCAAAUUUCUUAUCUAUCAACUUUCGAUGAUUGUAUAGAGGACAAUCAUGGUUUUAACGGGUAACAGAGAAUAAGGGUUUUAUUCUGGAGAGGGAGCCUAGAGAAAUUGCUACCACUUCCAAGGAAGGCAGCAGGCGCGAAAAUUACCCAAUAAAAAUACUUUGAGGUAGUAACAAAAAAUAACGACAACGUUUUAAUAUCAUUUUAAUUUUUUUAUUUAUGAAUAAUAGAUAWAAAAAAAAUAAAAUAUAAAUGAUAUUGUUGAUUGUAAUGAGUACAAUUUAAAAAAAUUAAUUAGAAUCAAUUAGAGGGCAAGUCUGGUGCCAGCAGCCGCGGUAAUUCCAGCUCUAAUAGCGUAUAUUUAAGUUGUUGUAUUUAAAAAGCUCGUAGUUGAAAUUUGAAAUUAAAUUUACAUAAUUAAAUAWUAAUAAUAAAAUAARUUAAUACUUUUUUUAUUAUUAUUUUUUUAUUUUAAUUUCAUAUUAUGAAAAUAAUUUAAAAUAUAUUUUUUAAAUUGUUUUUCAUUUUACCAUAAGUAAAAUAGAGUGUUUAAAGCAAGACAUUUAUGUCUAUUGAAUAAUAGAGUAUGGGAUAAUAAAAGAUGAAAGAGAGAAGAUUAUAUAUUUUUUGUAUUCAGAAAUAAAAAUAUAACAAUUUUUAUUUCUUAUCUUCUCACUUUAAUGAUUAAUAGGGACUAUUGGGGCAAUUAAUAUUUCUACACGAGCGGUGAAAUGUUUAGACUGUAGAAAGAUUAACUAAUGCGAAAGCAUUUUGCAAAGGUGUUUUCAUUAAUCAAGAACGAAAGUUAAGGGAUUGAAGAUGAUCAGAUACCGUCGUAAUCUUAACUAUAAACAAUGUCGACAAAAGAUGGGAUUGAUUGUAUAAAUAUAUAAUCUUUCUUAUAAAUAAAAAAAGGUACUAUUAUUAAAUAGAAAAAAAAAGUAGAGUAAGWAAUUAUUUCUWUUYUUUUUUCUAUAAUAACUGUCUCUUCCCGAAUUUCGUAAGAAAUUAAGAGUGAUCGGACUUUGGGGGGAGUAUGGUCGCAAGGCUGAAACUUAAAGGAAUUGACGGAAGAGCACCACAAGGUUGUGGAACUUGCGGUUUAAUUUGACUCAACACGGGAAAACUCACCAGGUCAGGACAUAAUAAGGAUUGACAGAUUAAUAGAUCUUUCAAAAAAAUAAWUAAAAUUAAAUUAUAAAUAGUUAAUAGUAAAAUAUUAAUUAUUUAUAAUUUAAUUUAAAAAAAAUAGAUUUUAUGAUGAGUGGUGCAUGGCCGAUCUUAGUUCGUGGAAUGAUUUGUCUACUUAAUUGUGUUAACGAACGAGACCUUUAGAGAUAAAUAGUAAUAAAUGGAAGGUGUAUUAAAAAAACAAUUAAAAUGUCUUUAGAAGAAGGGCAUGUUUCCCCUUUUAAAUGUCAUCAUUUUAAUUGUAAUCUUUCAUUUAUUUAAUUAAAUAAUUAAAAAAAAUAAUAAACUUCUUAUUUCGACUAUUGGUGUUAAACCAAUGUAAGUUAAAGGUAAUAUCAGGUCUGUGAUGCCCUUAGAUGUUCUGGGCCACACGCGUGUUACAAUGGUAAAGAUCAAAGGGUAAAAAUAUAAUAUAARAAUUAUUUAUAAUUUUUAUUUUAUAAUUCAUUGCUUAACAGAAAUGUUUGGCUAAUCCUUUUUCGAAUCUUUUUUACCAUAUCUGGGAUAGAUGCUUGUAAUUUUUCAUCUUCAACUUGGAAUACCUAGUAAACAUAAUUCAACAAAUUAUGUUGAUUACGUCCCUGCUCUUUGUACACACCGCCCGUCGCUCCUACCGAUUGAAUUAUCCGAUGAGUUGUAAAGAGAUUUUUUUUUAUAAAAURAAAAAGAUUAAAUUACAACAAAUCUUAUAAUUUAGAGGAAGGAGAAGUCGUAACAAGGUAAUCCGUWGGUGAACCUGCAGAAGGAUCA
rnacentral:rRNA from 1 species